rnacentral:rRNA from 1 species
CAGCAGCCACGGUAAUACGAAGGGUGCAAGCGUUACUCGGAAUUACUGGGCGUAAAGCGUGCGUAGGUGGUGGUUUAAGUCCGUUGUGAAAGCCCUGGGCUCAACCUGGGAAUUGCAGUGGGUACUGGGUCACUAGAGUGUGGUAGAGGAUAGUGGAAUUUCCGGUGUAGCAGUGAAAUGCGUAGAGAUCGGAAGGAACAUCUGUGGCGAAGGCGACUAUCUGGGCCAACACUGACACUGAGGCACGAAAGCGUGGGGAGCAAACAGGAUUAGAUACCCCCGUAGUCCCUGUCUCUUAUAC